UCUUCUUAACUCACGCUACAGAACUUCCACAGCAACAACGUGUGUACAGCUGUAGUGUCUUUGUGCGUGUGUGUGACUGCACAUUGUGUGUGUAUGUGUGUGGCCGUGGCUUUCUGUGCACUAUGUACGCAAUGUGCAUGUUGUGUGUGUGUGUGUGGCUACAUUACAUUGUCUGUGCCGCAGCUGCUGCUGUGUGUGUGAUGUGACUGUGGCUAUGUGUGGAAAAUGUGACCUGCAAAAAAUUGGAUAUAUAUUACUUCUUUAUCAAUUAACAAGUUUGAGUCCUUGUCUUCAACUUCUGAGUCUGAAUGCAGUCAAUGCUUGAGUCCGAGUCUGAGUUAUCAGUGCUCAAGUCCAAGUCAAGACACGAGCCCUGAAAAUCAGGACUCGAGACGGAUUUGAGUCUGAGUCCUGGACUCGAGUACUACAACACUGCUAAAUGUGUACACAAAAUGUUCUUAAUGAACCCAUAAUAUCUUCUAAUAUGUAACAGGAGCAUUUGCAAAUUAACGUAAUGAAAACACACACAACUACAGCAUGUGUGGAGCUAAACUACAAGAAAGAUAGCUCACUGCAGUCAGUCAGUUUCUUCUGCAGUUGUUUUUCUUCCAGUGGAUCUUCAAGUUAUCUCCAGUGGAGUUAUCACAAUGUAGUUACAAUGGCAUCACUCUGCCAUUGUAACUACAUUGUGGUCAGAGGGGGGAUUAUCCUACAAUCCUGUCAGCAGAAUUCAAGUACUCUGCUGCCACCUAGCAUCUACAGUUAUCUAGCACAGCCCCCCCCCCCCCCCCUUUUACUGCCACAGCAGCACCGUUGUAACGUGAUGAUACAAGAGAGAAGAUAAGAAGAUGGCUAUGUUUCACACAAGAUGCCUCCAAGAUCUACCAAAGAUUACCAUCAGCGAUGUACAUCAGCUAGUACAAGUAGCAAGCUCAGUCCCGAGGAGCAAAAUUUCAAACAAAGAUUCAUCAGGGAGAGUAAGCGUCAACCAAGUUCAUGUUCUGGAGUUUUGAUGUGGCUAGGGAUGUGAAACCAGGCCGAGGGAGUGACAUGGUAUCCGUUUCCACUAAGCUGAAGUAAUUAACGCUUGCUGACGACGUAAGAGUGAGUACAUGUUACAAGGCAGUGCGGGGGGAUCUGCCAGAUCCAGAUAUCCUCAAAGUUGACAAGGUGUACUUCUCGGCAGACAUCGCUCCACUCAUCACCACCAUGGCGAUAAGUGUGGACGUCCCACUGGUUGACUCAGCUUUUGGGAAAGUCCAGGAAGGUGGUCCUAUCUCCUACCAGCAUCCAUUACCAGUGAGCCAGGUUGUAGUAUGCCACCCAGAUGCCCCACCACCACCUCUACCUGUAGAUGCCUAUGGCAUUGGCACCAGAAUAGGGGGGACAAUGAGACUUUCUGUACCCCCACUUUCAGUCUUACUGUGAGGUGGCUACGACCAUUAGAGAGAAGGGAGAUUUUUUUUUUUUUUUUUUACAUGGCAGUUUGAAGGUGGUUUUCUACCACUUUUUGGCAUGUAGAUUUCCCAUAGACUGAUAGGCACUACAUUUUUCUUUGAACAACCACUGAUGCAUUGAUUCAUUUAUUCAAGCAUUGAUUCUUAAAGUCCCCCUCCACUCAAAAAUGUGUUUUUCUUCAUGUUCCUACAU